UACGUAGGGUGCGAGCGUUAAUCGGAAUUACUGGGCGUAAAGUGUGCGCAGGCGGCAGAGCAAGUCGAGUGUGAAAGCCCCGGGCUUAACUUGGGAAUUGCGCUCGAAACUACUUUGCUGGAGUGUGGCAGAGGAAGGUGGAAUUCCACGUGUAGCGGUGAAAUGCGUAGAGAUGUGGAGGAACACCAAUGGCGAAGGCAGCAUCCUGGACCGACACUGACGCUGAGACGCGAAAGCGUGGGGAGCAAACAGG
rnacentral:rRNA from 1 species